UACGUAGGGGGCAAGCGUUGUCCGGAAUCAUUGGGCGUAAAGCGCGUGUAGGCGGUUCGGUAAGUCUGCUGUGAAAGUCCAGGGCUCAACCCUGGGAUGCCGGUGGAUACUGUCGGACUAGAGUACGGAAGAGGCGAGUGGAACUCCUGGUGUAGCGGUGGAAUGCGUAGAUAUCAAGAGGAACACCUGCGGCGAAGGCGGGUUGCUGGGCCGACACUGACGCUGAAGCGCGAAAGCCAGGGGAGCGAACGGG
rnacentral:rRNA from 1 species